CUGGGGCGACCAGGCAGCCUGGUCUGGGCCUCAGGAAGUGGCUUCGGAACUAAGAGCUGGUUUGCUGCUGGGUGAGUCUCUGUUUACUCAGUGGCCCUGCUUCUUGGGCCAAAAUUAACAGCAAAGGCCACAGUGAAAUGGUGAUUUGUGGACCAAUUUAGCUGAAAGAAACCGCUGGUCUCAUGUGUCUAUUUAGAGCAGACGCCUUGCGCUCGCUCUCAUCCAGGGCUGCAUGGGGCCCACACGUGGACUUGGUUUGACCCUUGUAUCAGGAGGAGAAUUUGCUGCUGUUAUUAACUGCAAGAGAGGUCCCCGUGUGAAAACCUUGACCUCUGGCUGCCCUGCACUGCCCUGAGGAUGUGGGGACUCCGGCUGACAGACCUCCCGCACAGCUGCAAGAGGUGCCAAUCAAUCUUUCUGCCGAGGUUUUAACUAAUGGCUAAAAUGUCAGCUGAUAAAGGCUUACAGGGAUAUCCCGGCCAAGAGGAAGACACACAGAUGCACAUUCUGCAGGAAUCAGGGGACAAAGGUAUAUCCCAUCAAGGACUUCCCAGGUGGCUCAGUGCUAAAGAACUCACCUGCCAAUGUGGAAGACAGAAGAGACACCAGAUCUAUCCCUGGGUCAAGAAGAUCCGCUGGAGGAUGGCCUGGCAACCCACUCCAGUAUUUUGCCUAGAGAAUCUCAUGGACAGAGGAACCUGGCCGGCUAUAGUCCAUGGGGUCGCAAACAGUUGGACCCAACUGAAGGGACUUAACACUCACACACACAUAUCCCAUCAGGGUUUUCACAUCACCUAAAAUGAUUCUGCCUUGUGUGGCUACUCUGCAAAAAUGAUACAUAGUUGGAUUCACUUAUGGAAUUUUCCCCUGGGUUUUUAGAUAUUGACUUCUCAAUUUAAUUUUGUUUUAUAAUUAUAUAAAAUGAUUACAUUAUUGCAAACUCAAAACUGCAAAGAAGGUUUUUUCAGAAGUGUCUGACUACUAUAUCUAUUUCUUCCUAAAGUUUAUUUAAAGUGUAAAGUAAACUUUAAAAUAUUUUUUGUUUUAAUCUUUCUCAUUCUGAGUAUUAGUAUAUAAUAUUAAUUCUGUGUCUAUACAGACACAUGUAUUUUUUUCAUGGAACUGAUAGAGGACUUUAUACACUUUUUCCCACCUUGCUUUUUGUACUUAUCUUCUCCACUUUUGGGAGGCAUUACUUAGCCGUGUCUCAUUUCUUUUUUGUAGCUGUGUAACCUGAAUCCGUGAGUGAAUGCAUGAAAAUUUUUUUUUUUUUUUUAAUGCAUGAAAAUUGAUUCAACCAGAUGGACACUUGGGUGAGUUUUGGUCUUUACAAAUCACCGAGCAGCAAAAAGCCUUGCCGUGUGUCCUUUUGUAUUUUGCCAGUCAUCUCUAGGCUAGUUUCCUAGAAGCGAGAUUAUUGGAAUUAAGGGUAAAUGCACACGUAAUUUUGCUAACAUUGCAAAGUUUCCCUCCAUAGAGGUUGCUGCUGCUGCUGCUGCUAAGUCGCUUCAGUCGUGUCCAACUCUGUGCGACCCCACAGACGGCAGCCCACCAGGCUCCGCUGUCCCUGGGAUUCUCCAGGCAAGAACACUGGAGUGGGGUGCCAUUGCCUUCUCCACCAUAGAGGCUGCACCAUCUUGCAUUUCCACCAGUAUUUUAUGAGAAUUGUUUCCCCACAGCUUUGUCUAUAGAAUGUGCUAUUAAACUUUUGGAUUUUUUGUCCAUCUUAUUAAGAAAUGGUGUCUUAAUAAGAAUAGUUUCCAUUUCUUGCAAUGCUCUUAUCCAGUUUUAUUGUUUGUUUGCUUGUUUUUUAUUUAUUCAUUUAUUUUUGUUUGCUUGUUUU